rnacentral:rRNA from 1 species
CCUACGGGAGGCUGCAGUAGGGAAUCUUCGGCAAUGGACGAAAGUCUGACCGAGCAACGCCGCGUGAGUGAAGAAGGUUUUCGGAUCGUAAAACUCUUUUUGUAGAGAAGAACGUUGGUGAGAGGGUAAAGCUCAUCAAGUGACGGUAACUACCCAGAAAGGGACGUCUAACUACGUGCCAGCAGCCGCGGUAAUACGUAGGUCCCGAGCGUUGUCCGGAUUUAUUGGGCGUAAAGCGAGGUCAGGUGGUUUAUUAAGUCUGGUGUAAAAGGCAGUGGCUCAACCAUUGUAUGCAUUGGAAACUGGUAGACUUGAGUGCAGGAGAGGAGAGUGGAAUUCGAGGUGUAGCGGUGAAAUGCGUAGAUAUAGGGAGGAACACCGGUGGCGAAAGCGGCUCUCUGGCCUGUAACUGACACUGAGGCUCGAAAGCGUGGGGAGCGAACAGGAUUAGAUACCCUUGUAGUC